UCUACAGUGCAUGUGUCUCCAGUGUUACACAGGCAACUGGGGAUGCAGCUCUGUUGGAAU
rnacentral:pre_miRNA from 1 species